ACUCACUCACUGAUUUGUUUCCUAGCCUAUUUGGUUACCUAGCAACAACCUGUUGAGUCACUCGCGCAGCAGCAGUUACAGGUUUCGCCACUGUCCCUCAUAACUGCUUAAAAAUAA